rnacentral:rRNA from 1 species
UACGUAGGGGGCAAGCGUUGUCCGGAAUCAUUGGGCGUAAAGCGCGUGUAGGCGGCCCGGUAAGUCCGCUGUGAAAGUCGGGGGCUCAACCCUCGAAUGCCGGUGGAUACUGUCGGGCUAGAGUGCGGAAGAGGCGAGUGGAAUUCCUGGUAUAGCGGUGAAAUGCGCAGAUAUCAGGAGGAACACCAAUUGCGAAGGCAGCUCGCUGGGACGUGACUGACGCUGAGACGCGAAAGCGUGGGGAGCAAACAGG